UACCAGCACCCCGAGUAGUCGGGACGAUUAUUGGGCCUAAAGCAUCCGUAGCCGGUUCUGCAAGUCCUCCGUUAAAUCCACCUGCUCAACAGAUGGGCUGCGGGGGGUACCGCAGAGCUAGGAGGCGGGAGAGGCAAACGGUACUCAGUGGGUAGGGGUAAAAUCCUUUGAUCUACUGAAGACCACCAGUGGCGAAGGCGGUUCGCCAGAACGCGCUCGACGGUGAGGGAUGAAAGCUGGGGGAGCAAACAGG
rnacentral:rRNA from 1 species